GAGUCAGUAGGUUGGUCGUGCCACCGGUACGUACUGGUCUCACUGAUUCCUCCUUCCUGAAGAACCGUAAUGCCAUUAAUUUGGUGUUGCGGGGAAACAGGACUGUUACUUUGAAAAAAUUAGAGUGCUUAAAGCAAGCUAACGCUUGAAUACAUUAGCAUGGAAUAAUGAAAUAGGACGAUCGAUCCUAUUUUGUUGGUUUCUAGGAUUGACGUA
rnacentral:rRNA from 1 species